rnacentral:rRNA from 1 species
CCUACGGGAGGCAGCAGUGAGGAAUAUUGGUCAAUGGACGCAAGUCUGAACCAGCCAUGCCGCGUGCAGGAAGACGGCUCUAUGAGUUGUAAACUGCUUUUGUACGAGGGUAAACGCAGAUACGCGUAUCUGUCUGAAAGUAUCGUACGAAUAAGGAUCGGCUAACUCCGUGCCAGCAGCCGCGGUAAUACGGAGGAUUCAAGCGUUAUCCGGAUUUAUUGGGUUUAAAGGGUGCGUAGGCGGUCGGAUAAGUUAGAGGUGAAAUCCCGAGGCUCAACUUCGGAAUUGCCUUUGAUACUGGUUGGCUAGAGAGGAGUUGAGGUAGGCGGAAUGCAUGGUGUAGCGGUGAAAUGCUUAGAGAUCAUACAGAACACCGAUUGCGAAGGCAGCUUACCAAGCUACUUCUGACGUUGAGGCACGAAAGCGUGGGGAGCAAACAGGAUUAGAUACCCGAGUAGUC